rnacentral:SRP_RNA from 1 species
CUGGAGACUAGACUGGGGAGCCGGGCAUUCCCUGUAACCGCAAACUGUCCUUAUGGCGGGGUCGAAGCCCGAGGGCGAUGUUGAGUGUAUUGAUCGGCCCGGGUAUUCAACUGAGAAGCUUUGUCCCAUAGGAUCGUCUAUGUGGUGAACCGAGUCAGACCUUGACGGGAGCAGCUCUAAGCUAUGUACUUGAUGUUUAUGGGGUCUACAAAGUGGAGGCGAAUAUCUGGUUAACCUUUCUCUGUGCUUGACUUCCACCGACGGCGCGUCUCUAU